UACGUAGGGACCGAGCGUUGUCCGGAUUCAUUGGGCGUAAAGAGCUCGUAGGCGGCUGCUCAAGUCGAAUGUGAGAACUCGAGGCUCAACCUCGAGCCUGCAUUCGAUACUGGGCGGCUAGAGUCUGGUAGGGGGAUCUGGAAUUCCUGGUGUAGCGGUGGAAUGCGCAGAUAUCAGGAGGAACACCAAUAGCGAAGGCAGCUCGCUGGGACGGUACUGACACUAAGGCGCGAAAGCGUGGGGAGCGAACAGG
rnacentral:rRNA from 1 species